CAUGAAUGAGAGGCUGCCCUCAUGACCUGCAGUGCUGAGAAAAGAGACUGAAGACCGAUCGGCGGGUUGGAGUUUCUUCGGGCAUCACAGCCGGCUCCGCUGAGGUGUGUCUCCCUAGUUAGUUUUCUGAGAGUUCACAACGACAAGGACUCAUCAUGGCUGUCGACUUGAGAGGCCAUCAGUGGUCCUCUUUUCACUUGCUAAUGCGGGGAAUGAGUGGCCCAUGUCCCAGAGCAACGGCACAACAAGAACCGUUGGCGGUGAAAAACAAGACUUAAGAGAGGAAAUCAACUCUGGCUUUACUAUAUCCUAAAGACAAAGGACAAUGUUAACUUGACGUUCUACUCACUUAUGUAAUCAUUUUUUUUUUUGUGUGUAACGCAAGCUGAGAGAGAUUUUAAGCCCAAACCGUCAAGCUGUUUUCACCAUUAUAUUUAAAUGCUGGGAAAAAUAUCCUGGGAUCCCGUCCAAGAACGCUCGCAAAAGAUCGGUGCGUUGGAGGAAGCAAUCUGAAAAGGAGAGACUAUUUCCAGAGGAGUAUUUUCUGAUCUGCCACUUAAAAGUGAGAAUAUGCAAAGCGGAGAAAAUGCAUAAACGAGGCUUUUCUUUUACAGGCUUUGCGACGCAUGCAGAUGUUUAGCCUUUGAAUAACAAUUAAGAGCCUGGGAUGCUAAAGGAGAAGCAAAGCAAGAGCCAGCGGAGGUAAUUGGACAGUUAAACGCUAAAAUCAUUUCACAUGAACUUCUCUGCAGACCCGACCGGUCAUCUGAAAGCGCACAAGGGGGCACGCCGUUCUGUUCUAUUCCAGGACCGGCCACAUGUGAAACCUCAAUCAGACGCAGAGCACCGGACCACUAAUUGCGUGUCAUGGCCUCUUUUACAACCCUGCUGCUGAAUCUGCCCCUUCAAUCGUCAACACCCAAAAAACUUUUUUUUUUUUUUUUUCUGUGGUGGCUAAGCAUGUGUUCGGUAAUCACAGGAGGGCAUGACCAACAUGAAGGAGCUGAAACAGAAGAAAGAAACAGAAAGAAGAGAGAGAGCGAGAGAGAGAGAGAACUGCAUCUGUGUGUCCCUCUGGGUCUAAAAAUGGCAAAACCUCAAACGUUAAAUCCACACGGGCAGAGUUCACUCUGGAGAACAGGGCAGACAUGUCACACAGUGUGACGUCAAUUUUGGCCGAACGCAAGGUCCCCGGGCUAACCGCCGAAAUGGUGAGGUGGCGUAUUAGCUGUUAGAAGUGCCUCAAGGAUCAAGGGCUGUACCUAUUACAAAACAAGCUAUGGAUGACAAAUGUGAUCAACAGCUAUUUUGUGCAAGAGCACAGGUUGUUCAGAGAAGAGUGGGAGAGUUCUGGUUAAUCACGAUGCCCUGACACAUUGAGUUGAUGCAAUGCCUCAUCGUUUUAGCUGUACUCAUGGCAGAGAGUUAAAACAGGGGAUCGGGCAGCCGUCAGAAAAUAAAGUUUAGCUUCAAUUUAAACUCUACUAGCUCUUUGAGCAGCUUUGUUUCAAUACUGCUGAAGAUGUACAUACAGGCAUGUGGAAGAUUGCUGGUACCCUUGCCAACUUCAAACUUUGUUUGGAAUCUGUUUGAUUGGACUUGAUUGCCUUUCCUUUUUUAAAGACGACAUGUGAUGUAAAUUUAGAAAUAAACUUAUCUGAAUUGAUUAAUUUCUCCUGAAAAAUCUGAAAGUGAAAUCUAAAAUAUAGAAAUUGUUUAAUAUAUACCAGCAUCCCUUUUAGUAUGUGUUAGAGUGAACAAAAAGAAUUGUGAAAAUUAUUAUUUAAUUUUUUUCAAAAGAUAGGCUAAGGUAUAGAGACUGACCAAGAAUACGGCUGCUAAUCAGGAUCUGUUAUUUUCCUACUUCAUCAGCGUUGAUUGGUGGUCAAAGACGCUAAAAUCUAGUAUUUUACUGAUCAUGCUAACUACAAUACUGUUCACUGUGGAUGUUGUUGCUGAAGGAAGACUUAAAGACUAUUUUCAGCAUAAGUGAGGUAGUCAGAGGGGAAAAAAAGGUUAUUUAAAUGGAAGCUGUAUAAUGUACAUUGUAUAUCUGGAGCGUGUAACAAAAGUAAUUUCCCCUGGGAUUAUUACAGUAUGUCUGAUUCUGUACAUGUCUGCAAGUUACUUAGGCUGCAAUAUUCAGCAGGUAACAGGAAGGGUAAAUGGAGUACAGCAAAGUUGGUCUGAUUCAUUAUUUAGAGCUUUCAAUCUCUGUCUAUUAUGGAACAUGAUUGACUUAGAAAUGUUUGCAGCCAUUUGGAAAUCUCAGGGUUAGGUAAUAAUGUGCAUUGUCUAAUAAAACACCCAGAGACUGAUGUUUUCAUAAUACUAGCAGCAUAUGCUUUAGGAAAUUUGUAGUCAUGUUUAAAUAACUACCAUUUUAUUUCUAUUUUAAGCUU